UUGGGGGAUCUUAAGGCCGAGAGCUGAUGACGAGUGUCCUUUAGGACACGAAGUGGUUGAUGCCAUGCUUCCAAGAAAAGCUUCUAAGCUUCAGGUAACCAGGAACCGUACCCCAAACCGACACAGGUGGUUGGGUAGAGAAUACCAAGGCGCUUGAGAGAACUCGGGUGAAGGAACUAGGCAAAAUGGCACCGUAACUUCGGGAGAAGGUGCGCCGGUGAGGGUGAAGCAUUUACUGCGUAAGCCCACGCCGGUCGAAGAUACCAGGCCGCUGCGACUGUUUAUUAAAAACACAGCACUCUGCAAACACGAAAGUGGACGUAUAGGGUGUGACGCCUGCCCGGUGCCGGAAGGUUAAUUGAUGGGGUUAGCUAACGCGAAGCUCUUGAUCGAAGCCCCGGUAAACGGCGGCCGUAACAAUAACGGUCCUAAGGUAGCGAAAUUCCUUGUCGGGUAAGUUCCGACCUGCACGAAUGGCGUAACGAUGGCGGCGCUGUCUCCACCCGAGACUCAGUGAAAUUGAAAUCGCUGUGAAGAUGCAGUGUAUCCGCGGCUAGACGGAAAGACCCCGUGAACCUUUACUAUAGCUUUGCACUGGACUUUGAAUUUGCUUGUGUAGGAUAGGUGGGAGGCUUUGAAGCGUGGACGCCAGUCUGCGUGGAGCCAACCUUGAAAUACCACCCUGGCAACUUUGAGGUUCUAACUCAGGUCCGUUAUCCGGAUCGAGGACAGUGUAUGGUGGGUAGUUUGACUGGGGCGGUCUCCUCCUAAAGAGUAACGGAGGAGUACGAAGGUGCGCUCAGACCGGUCGGAAAUCGGUCGUAGAGUAUAAAGGCAAAAGCGCGCUUGACUGCGAGACAGACACGUCGAGCAGGUACGAAAGUAGGUCUUAGUGAUCCGGUGGUUCUGUAUGGAAGGGCCAUCGCUCAACGGAUAAAAGGUACUCAGGGGAUAACAGGCUGAUACCGCCCAAGAGUUCAUAUCGACGGCGGUGUUUGGCACCUCGAUGUCGGCUCAUCACAUCCUGGGGCUGAAGCCGGUCCCAAGGGUAUGGCUGUUCGCCAUUUAAAGUGGUACGCGGGCUGGGUUUAGAACGUCGUGAGACAGUUCGGUCCCUAUCUGCCGUGGACGUUUGAGAUUUGAGAGGGGCUGCUCCUAGUACGAGAGGACCGGAGUGGACGAACCUCUGGUGUUCCGGUUGUCACGCCAGUGGCAUUGCCGGGUAGCUAUGUUCGGAAUAGAUAACCGCUGAAAGCAUCUAAGCGGGAAACUAGCCUCAAGAUGAGAUCUCACUGGAACCUUGAGUUCCCUGAAGGGCCGUCGAAGACUACGACGUUGAUAGGUGGGGUGUGUAAGCGCUGUGAGGCGUUGAGCUAACCCAUACUAAUUGCCCGUGAGGCUUGACCG
rnacentral:rRNA from 1 species